GAUGAAGAACGUAGCGAAAUGCGAUAAGUAAUGCGAAUUGCAGAAUUUCCGUGAAUCAUCGAAUCUUUGAACGCACAUUGCGCCCCCCAGUAUUCUGGCGGGCAUGCCUGUUCGAGCGUCAUUUCAACCAUCAAGCCCUGCUUGUGUUGGGGUCCUGCGGCUGCCCGCAGGCCCUGAAAACCAGUGGCGGGCUCGCUAGUCACACCGAGCGCAGUAGCACAUCUCGCUCAGGGCGUGCGGCGGGCUCCAGCCGUUAAAGCACCCACCUUUCGCAAGGUUGACCUCGGAUCAGGUAGGAAUACCCGCUGAACUUAAGCAUAUCAAUAAGCGGAGGA
rnacentral:misc_RNA from 1 species